rnacentral:rRNA from 1 species
UACGUAGGGUGCAAGCGUUGUCCGGAAUUAUUGGGCGUAAAGAGCUCGUAGGCGGUUCAGUAAGUCGGGUGUGAAAACUCUGGGCUCAACCCAGAGACGCCACCCGAUACUGCUGUGACUUGAGUACGGUAGGGGAGUGGGGAAUUCCUGGUGUAGCGGUGAAAUGCGCAGAUAUCAGGAGGAACACCAGUGGCGAAGGCGCCACUCUGGGCCGUAACUGACGCUGAGGGGCGAAAGCGUGGGUAGCAAACAGG